rnacentral:rRNA from 1 species
CCUUUGACGUUAGCGGCGGACGGGUGAGUAACACGUGGGUAACCUACCUAUAAGACUGGGAUAACUUCGGGAAACCGGAGCUAAUACCGGAUAAUAUUUCGAACCGCAUGGUUCGAUAGUGAAAGGUGGUUUUGCUAUCACUUAUAGAUGGACCCGCGCCGUAUUAGCUAGUUGGUAAGGUAACGGCUUACCAAGGCGACGAUACGUAGCCGACCUGAGAGGGUGAUCGGCCACACUGGAACUGAGACACGGUCCAGACUCCUACGGGAGGCAGCAGGC